rnacentral:rRNA from 1 species
GACGAAUGCUGGCUGCGUGCUUAACACAUGCAAGUCGAACGGUGAAGGGGAGCUUGCUCCCCGGAUCAGUGGCGAACGGGUGAGUAACACGUGGGCAACCUGCCCCUCACUCUGGGAUAACUCCGGGAAACCGGGGCUAAUACCGGAUACGACCGGGAGCGACAUCGCUCCUGGGCGAAAGAACUUCGGUGAGGGAGGGGCCCGCGGCCUAUCAGCUAGUUGGUGGGGUAACGGCCCACCAAGCCGACGACGGGUAGCCGGCCUGAGAGGGCGACCGGCCACACUGGGACUGGGACACGGCCCAGACUCCUACGGGAGGCAGCAGUGGGGAAUAUUGCGCAAUGUGCGAAAGCCUGACGCAGCGACGCAGCGUGAGGGACGAAGGCCUUCGGGUUGUAAACCUCUUUCAGCGGGGACGAAGCGAAAGUGACGGUACCCGCAGAAGAAGCACCGGCUAACUACGUGCCAGCCGCCGCCGUAAUAC